rnacentral:rRNA from 1 species
ACCCGCACAAGCGGUGGAUGAUGUGGAUUAAUUCGAUGCAACGCGAAAACCUUACCUACCCUUGACAUGUCCGGAAUCCCGAAGAGAUUUGGGAGUGCUCGCAAGAGAACCGGAACACAGGUGCUGCAUGGCUGUCGUCAGCUCGUGUCGUGAGAUGUUGGGUUAAGUCCCGCAACGAGCGCAACCCUUGUCAUUAGUUGCUACAUUCAGUUGGGCACUCUAAUGAGACUGCCGGUGACAAGCCGGAGGAAGGUGGGGAUGACGUCAAGUCCUCAUGGCCCUUAUAGGUGGGGCUACACACGUCAUACAAUGGCUGGUACAAAGGGUUGCCAACCCGCGAGGGGGAGCCAAUCCCAUAAAGCCAGUCGUAGUCCGGAUCGUAGUCUGCAACUCGACUACGUGAAGUCGGAAUCGCUAGUAAUCGUGGAUCAGAAUGUCACGGUGAAUACGUUCCCGGGUCUU